CCACGGCCACGGUCACCCGGCAGUCGGCUUCCUUCUCUAGGCUCGCCGAGCCUCUCGAGCAACCUCUUAACUACUUCGGCACUAACUUCUUUUGACGAGUUCCAUUUCAUCAUCACAUGCUCUUGUCAUAGGGCUUCCUUUCCUUUGGCAUCAUCAGCCUCUGGCUCAUCUUGCGUUAGGAAUCUCGGGUCCCUAAGGGGACAGUGCCAGGCAGUUGUCACUCGUCUCUGUGUUAUGUCAUCUGUGUCUGUGUUAUGUCAUCUGUGUCUAUGUUAUGUUGUCCGUGUUAUGUUGUCCAUGUCUGUGUUAUGUAGUCCGUGUCCAUUGUCUUACGUGUCACAGGCCUUUGUCACGUCUCGACGCUUUAUCGGCACUAUUCCGUGCCACAUUGCCCGUAUUCUACUCGCGUUCCUUUCCGGAUAUCCCUUAUUCCGGCACCUGUACAUUUUUACUCUUUGAGACUGGAGUGUCUCAAAGGGACAAGAUGUUCUCAUCCAUCUUCCUUCUCACUACCGGCUUUGGUAGUGCCUUUUUCUCCAUGCCAUUCUCUUGGACUUCCUGAGGGAGCGUCUUACACCCUCCUCAUGUGACUGCAGCAGUUCUAUAGGUUCCAUCUUCCCAAGAGGUAUAGGGUUCAAGAAUUAGUAUCUUCCAGAGAGCUGUCUCAAGUCCUGGCUUAUACUGUAUGUACUUACAUUGUUUGUACCUAUGCUGGUUUAUACUGUAUGUACUUACAUUGCGUUUACCUAUGUUGGCUUACACUGUAUGUACUUAUACUGUAUGUACUUACAUUGUGUGUACCUAUGCUGGCUUAUAUUGUAUGGACUUACACUCCAUGUACACUUGCACUGUAUGCAUCUGCUUUUAUUGUGUGUACUCAUGUUGUACCGCUUAUGGUCGGAGCUGCCCUGCCCGGGCACGUAGUCACAGUGAGAUAGAACAGUUAUAAAAACUUUACUGUUCAUCUGUCUUUAAUGGGGUUUUGGGUAGAAAAUUUAUCGGUCAGAGCGGGGACAAGUCCUAGCUGUCAGCCACUCGUUGACCGAUUCCUGUCGUCUCACAGGUCCCCGAGGCUGCCGAUUUCCCCAGAAUCUACCGUUUGACGUCGAGGAGCGGCAGCCAGAAGAAGCGUGGAAGCGCGUUCUUCAGCGUCUCGAGGUGAGCACAGGGUGAACUCUCUCCUCCUUGCUGUGACACCUGGGCUGGCAGGGAUGACACAGUGACCUUGGCCGGCCGAUGCUGCCUUUGCCAUCACCUGGCACUGACGUGUUUGAUGAAAAUCCUUUUGCUGGGAUUUUUCUCCUGAGAAGCCUCAGAACAGAAAUGGAACCAAUAACAAUCUGCUGGCUGUGGAGUGUGGGCUGGAGAUGGUUUAGCAACAGAGGCAUCUUGGGUUGGUCUCCUGUGCAUUGUUUCUACUUGAUGACCAAUCAUUGCCCAGCAGUGUCGGGGCUGUGAGCAGUCCCAGGUUUUUAUUAUUCAUUCCUUUCCAGCUUUCUGAUGUCUCCUUGCUCUUUUAGUAUAGUUCUAAUAUCUCAUUUUCUUUUAAUAUAAUAGAGAUCAUACAAUAAUAUUUCAGCCUUCUGAAA